UUACGGCCACAACACAUUGAAACAACGGUUUCCAUAAGAUCAUCGAAGUUAAGCAACGGUGAGCCUGGUCAGUACUUAGAUCUGUGACCUCUGGAGAAUACCACGUACUA